UUAAAUUGAAGAGUUUGAGCAUGGCUCAGAUUAAACGCUGGCGGCAGGCCUAACACAUGCAAGUCGAACGGUAACAGGAAGAAGCUUGCUUCUUUGCUGACGAGUGGCGGACGGGGGAGUAAUGUCUGGGAAACUGCCUGAUGGA
rnacentral:rRNA from 1 species